rnacentral:rRNA from 1 species
CGCACGGGUGCGUAACACGUAACUAACCUACCCACAUUUGGGGGAUAGCCCGCCGAAGGGCGGAUUAAUACCGCAUAAGACUACAGAGCGGCAUCGCUUGGUAGUUAAAGGAGCAAUCCGCUCGAUGACGGGACCGCGUCCCAUUAGCUAGUUGGUGGGGUAACGGCCUACCAAGGCACCGAUGGGUAGCUGGUUUGAGAGAGCGACCAGCCACACUGGGACUGAGAAACGGCCCAG